rnacentral:rRNA from 1 species
GAGGAAUAUUGGUCAAUGGGCGCGAGCCUGAACCAGCCAAGUAGCGUGCAGGAUGACGGCCCUAUGGGUUGUAAACUGCUUUUGUAUGGGGAUAAAGUCAAUCACGUGUGAUUGUUUGCAGGUACCAUACGAAUAAGGACCGGCUAAUUCCGUGCCAGCAGCCGCGGUAAUACGGAAGGUCCGGGCGUUAUCCGGAUUUAUUGGGUUUAAAGGGAGCGUAGGCCGGAGAUUAAGUGUGUUGUGAAAUGUAGACGCUCAACGUCUGACUUGCAGCGCAUACUGGUUUCCUUGAGUACGCACAACGUUGGCGGAAUUCGUCGUGUAGCGGUGAAAUGCUUAGAUAUGACGAAGAACUCCGAUUGCGAAGGCAGCUGACGGGAGCGCAACUGACGCUUAAGCUCGAAGGUGCAGGUAUCGAACAGGAUUAGAUACCCUGGUAGUCCGCACAGUAAACGAUGGAUGCCCGCUGUUGGUACCUGGUAUCAGCGGCUAAGCGAAAGCAUUAAGCAUCCCACCUGGGGAGUACGCCGGCAACGGUG